UUUUCAAAAUUUGGUCCAAGGGUCAUAGUAGUCUAAAAAUUUUUUUUCUGAUAUCCCAGAUUGCUGGAUAUUUCUGACAUACAAGACUCAAUUAGGAAAAGACAAAAGGAUCAAAGAAGAGAAAGCAGAAUAACACUGACAUUGAGAAUGACUCUAGAUGGGAGAUCACCUAAGGAUGAAAGCUUUUCUGGCAAACAAUAUGCAAGUAUAUUUAUACUCUUGCUGCUCAUUCCUUUUAUUUAAAAACCAUUGCAGGAAUAAGGUGACAUAAAUUGUAGACUCCAUUAACAAUUGUUCUAGGGAACAAUUAAUACAUGUGCCUACUCAUAUUACACUGAGCAACCAGGUCUACCAGCCAUAGUUUUUGAAUUCUGACAGCACCAGUUUUAGAUAUCUGUUCCAUAGUGUGUAGGUAGUGUGAAAAUACACAACCUAUUUUCUUAAAUAAAUGUUCUGAAUGUUUCCAUAUCAUGGAGGUGGUGAGCCAACAUAACCAACACUGAUAUGCAGUUUUUAUUCUGAAAAAAUGAAAAUGAAAUUAGUCAAGAGCUGUCAGGAAGAACAAAGAGGUUUCUUGUGGAAUUUGUGUGUUAAAUACAGCAAUGGUUAUAACUUUGUUCCUCGUAUGAGGUAAUGUUUUCCCAGGGAUAUUUAGUAAUAUUUAGCCAUCAAUCAAUUGGCAUUGCAUCAAAAAAAAACACCUGCACUCCCACUAGAUUAGCGGUGUGGUUUCCUAAUCACAUUGACAAAGAGCUAACAAAGCAUGUGAUAUGUGGUGGAAGAGAAAACAGAAAGCUCUGCUUUACAUCAUACUGUUUAGGUGUGAGGAUGGACCCUAAUCUGCUUACACUGCAUUGAAGCUGAAAGUGCAAAAUAAAUUCAUUAUCCUGGACUGGGAGACAGUAGACAAAUACAUCUCUUGAGAGGACAAAUAACUUUACACAGAAAAGGGGAUAUCAUAUCAUUUAAUGAGGCAAUAAGAACAACUUUUCAGGAAGACGGCCGGGCAGUGUGAGUUCUCUCAUAGACACAGCGGAAGAGGUUUUUUGGUUUUGUUUUGUUUUUUUUGUUGUUGUUGUUGUUUUUUUUUGAGGAGAAUGACAGCUUACUUAACAACAGACGUUUCUGUGAUUGGAGAGGGAAGAAAUGAACUGCUUUGCCGCUAUUGCCUGUGAUGGGUACAGGAAUCCCAAAGCUUUGGGAGAUCAGAAGAGAUGUCCAAUUCCUGCAGGAGAUGCUUCACAGACCCCUUAAAUCAUUGAUCAUCUUCCCUUUUCAUUAUGCGAUUUGUAUCUAAGUCCCUUUACAGUAAUUUCAGUGUCUGUUUAAUCUUUGAGGUCCCCACAGAACCUAUUACAAUGUUUUACAUAUUGUAAGACACACAGUAAGAAUUUGUGUAUUGUAAGUAUUGACCUAAUAUAUCUGCACUUUUAAUGUAUUCAGUUAAAAUAUAAAUUGUAUUUUAAGAAUACAGUAAAUAAAAGAAAUGCUCCUAUCAAGGCAUUUCUCUAUCCUAUGUCUAUAAGUUUAUUCAGAUUCAAGUGUGGGAAUUUACAUUCAUCAUUAGUUCAUCCAUUCAUUCAUGUAUAAUGGGUACAUAGUAAUUAUCUACUAUAUGCAAAGAUCUCUAAGCCCUAUGAUGCAAUUUAAAAAAAUGUUAAAGUGUCUGGGCGCAGUAGCUCAUGCCUGUAAUCCCAGCACUUAGGGAGGCCAAAGCAGGGGGAUCACUUGACCUCAGGCAUUCAAGACCAGCCUGGGCAACAUGGCAAAACCCCAUCUCUACUAAAAGUACAAAAAUUAGCCAGGUGUGGUGAUGCGUGCCUGUAGUCCCAGCUACUUGGGAGGCUGAGGCAGGAGAAAUCGCUUGAGUCCGGGAGGUGGAGAUUGCAGUGAGCCGAGAUUGCACCACUGCACUCCAGCCUGGGCAACAGAGCGAGACUCUGCCUCAAAAAAAAAAAAAAAAAGAAAUGUUAAAGUGAAUAUCUUCAUUAAGAAUUUAUAAUUGAAAAUAUUUUCCAUAUUAGUGGAAAAUCUCUAUUUCAAAAUUGAUAACUUAAUUGAAUCUAAACCCAGUUGAAUAAGUAUUUAAUUUGUGCCCACUACAUUACAUUUUGUUGCCUGCUCUGAAUUUUGCCUUCUACUCUAGCAUAUUCAUUAAUGGGAUUAGAAGGAAUAACUUUUUGAGAUGGGUGAAAUAAGUCCGACCCAAACAGCUUUGAAAUAAAACAUGGGCCAGUAACAGUUACUUACAACUGUCUUUAGCCAACAUGUCCCUGGCUGAAAGGUUCCUUACCAUGGCGAUGUUUUGGUCCAACAGGACAAAUGACCUGUGAGAUGUGAUGAAGGAGAGAGAGAUGAACAAAAAAGAGGUAAUGCACAGCCAUGGAUUUCCCGAAGCCCCUCUCCUUGAGGGCUCUUCUUGUGCUCUGGGGAGAUGCGCCACUAAAAGAAAAGGCUAACUGUUCAAGGUGAAAAAACACCACUCCCUAAAAGGAGCAAGACUUGGCUGCAUGCAGGUAACACUAUGAACUAGAUAAGAACAUGCUUAAACUCUUCAGAGUAAAAGCAUCUAUUCAAGGGAAAAGAAUGCGGAAGGUCGUGUAUGCCCAUGACCAGAAAUUUAAAGUGUUAUGUGGAGCAAGGGGACCUAUGCAGAGCUAUGUUAUGAGCUGAAUGUAAAGAAUGCAGCUUACAAGUGGCUUAAAUUCUUGAGGGACCGGAAUGGUUUUGUUCUGGGCAGCCUGAUCAAUGGGAGCUUGUCUUUGAGCUAUUCGCUCAGCAAGUGACUCAGCACUUGUGACGCCCGCUGUGAGACAGGCUAUUGGCUGGGGAAGAGAAGAUCUUUUCAAGUACAUCAGAACGGCUCUGUCUCAGAUAACCUUCCCCUGACUUUGUGACUGAGCUUCCAGAAACAUGUCAGGGAGUUUCUAGGAAGGAGGCCAGAAAUCAUGCAGUUAGCAAGGGAGAUCCAGCUGUGCCCACCUCAGCCUGAGAGUUUUAUUCACUUCUUCUGCAGGGAUCAUUUUCAGCCGUUCAAAAAGUUUCCUACUGUUUCACCUCGAUGGGGACUUUACUUGCUUUUCUGUGCAGGUUCUCUAUUAGUUAACAUGUUCCUCUACCCCAUUUAACUUUUGAAGUGUGGGGCCUCUGAAUGAGAAAAUGGAUUGCGUCUUCCAAUAUCAAAAUGGAGUCCUACUCAUGAUAAGUAGUUUAACACUUUUCUGAGAGUAUUGAGUUGCUUUAGGAAGACCAAGUGAUUGGGUUUCAAGAGAGAUACCAAGUUAAAGGAAUUCACAUCAUUAUAUCUCCCAGAGGACAAAGCCUAGAACUUUCUACAUUCAAGUCAGUGAAUAUUGGGGAGUGGGGAAUCCAUGAAUUCAUUAUGUGGAGGCAAUUUUAAUUCAGAAGAUGGAAACCAGCAUAAUAUAGAUCUGUCGUGGCUUCAGCAUCAGGAAACAACACACUGAUCAUGACA